CGAGCAGGCGGAGUGGCGGGCAGGAGUGGUGGGUCAGUGGCUUCUUACCUUGACCUCCGUGAACACAGGUGACGGCACACUUACCUGCAAAGAAAAGGGAUUAUCAGCACGUGGAGAGCCUGUGAGCUGCAAACACCACAACUUCACGGCGCCUUUGUCCCCCCUCGCCUGGCUGGUUGUCUUGCAUCUCUCCGACACUCCAAUUCGUGACUCAGCCUCCACUCGUCCGUGAAUCCCCGAUGCACCCUCACCACCACUACCUUUAUCAUCACCGCCCCUUCAAUAGAUUGGCUUCUGAGGGCAGCUCCAUUGUCCCUAACCCCUCUCUGUCCGGAUUACGUUGCGUCUAUUUUUGUUUGUAAUGAUUUAUUUCUAUGUGUUUGUUCUGUCAUUGUCUUCCUUCA